GAUGAACGCUGGCGGCGUGCCUAAUACAUGCAAGUCGAGCGAAUGGAUUAAGGGCUUGCUCUUAUGAAGUUAGCGGCGGACGGGUGGGUAACACGUGGGUAACCUGCCCAUACGACUGGGAUAACUCCGGGAAACCGGGGCUAAUACCGGAUAACAUUUUGAACCGCAUGGUUCGAAAUUGAAAGGCGGCUUCGGCUGUCACUUAUGGAUGGACCCGCGUCGCAUUAGCUAGUUGGUGAGGUAACGGCUCACCAAGGCAACGAUGCGUAGCCGACCUGAGAGGGUGAUCGGCCACACUGGGACUGAGACACGGCCCAGACUCCUACGGGAGGCAGCAGUAGGGAAUCUUCCGCAAUGGACGAAAGUCUGACGGAGCAACGCCGCGUGAGUGAUGAAGGCUUUCGGGUCGUAAAACUCUGUUGUUAGGGAAGAACAAGUGCUAGUUGAAUAAGCUGGCACCUUGACGGUACCUAACCAGAAAGCCACGGCUAACUACGUGCCAGCAGCCGCCGUAA
rnacentral:rRNA from 1 species